GACGAACCGUGCGAACGUUGUUCGGAAUCACUGGGCUUAAAGGGCGCGUAGGCGGGCUGCCAAGUCUGGGGUGAAAUCCCACGGCUCAACCGUGGAACUGCCUCGGAUACUGGUGGCCUCGAGGGGGGUAGGGGCGUGCGGAACGUGGUGGGUGGAGCGGUGAAAUGCGUUGAUAUCCACAGGAACUCCGGUGGCGAAGG
rnacentral:rRNA from 1 species